UCUAAAUCCUUAUUUUCCAUUUGCUCUUGAUCUCUCUCUUCUAGGCUCUGCCAUGUCUACUGGUUCACUACGCACCUUCCUGGUUCUUUCGAUUUGCUUGUACCUUCAGGUCGUAAACUGUUUGAUGAAAUGCCUGUGUGUUGAUCCAUUCUCGCUGCUCUAUAUUCUGGCUGUUCAUGAAGCACCUGCCGUCCAAGCAUGGCACUUUGUGCGGUGACGGAAUGCUCCUGGAAGAAAACGAGGACAAGAACACCGCUGCCACAUUAAUUGAUACUGAGCUGGAUGAUGAAGCACUUAAGGCACAGUACUCGAAAGCUCACCCGUAUGGAGAGUGGCUCGAGAGACAGAAGAUGUACCUCAAAGACAUUGUAGAAUCUGUCCCAGAAACUGACAAAGUUGCUUGCAGCAUUUCUGGUUCACGUCACCUUCAUGAUAGGACCGUAUUAUCUGGUAGACUAUCAGGGUUAAAAUGCCAAUGAGGCUGAUGCUAUCGUUUCCUAAAGUGGCACCAUUGGAAUGGAUCAGCUGCAUUGGUAUCACAAUAUUUCACAGAUUGAAUCGUUCUGAGCAGUCAACAAAUGUCCUACAUUUCUAGCUAUAGCGAACACGGCAGAUUGAUUACGAGGAGUUGGUGCUCCUUCGUCUCUUCUCCCCUCAGCUAGGAGAUGUCAGCGAGAUAUCUUGCUUCAAUGAUGCACAAUCAAGAGAUGGUGGGGCCUUGUGACGUGUUUUCAGUGGUGGCUCCCUUGGCUGUGGGUGUCCUCGGCCAGAGCAGGGGCCUGUCAGCAACCUCGCCAUCUGGCUUGUUCAUAGAUGGAAAGAACCAUUCUUCCACUUCAUACAAUGCAGCUGUAGUGCUUCAACGUUUCACUUGCCAAGACACAAAGCUUUUUUACGUCUGUAAACAUAAAUACUACCAGCAGGCCCCUUGUAUAUACCGUCAAGAAUGCUGCCAAUUCGCCUACUGCAACUAAAGGUCGAGUACUGGGAAAUACCAAAUUGAGUGUUUUCUCCUCACUAGGUUGAGUAUAGGGAGAGACGCCGGAGGGCAGCAGCUGGAGCGUCACUUGAUAGUCAUCUUUGCAAAAACAGGUCCCUAUCAAAGUUCCUUCUUGGUUCUUGCCAUUGAUCUAUACUCAAACCUCUCCACUGAAGAAAUACAAGUGCUCUAUAAUGUGAUUUAUCCUUUCUGUACUUACGACUUUUCUCUAACAAUGAUUUGUGUGAGGUGCCAUUGAUGUUCAUUGUUUGUUUGGCAGAGGUUUAGUACCAAGGGAAAUAACCAUGUCAAGACAAAUCAAACGAAUUUAUUUUGUUCAGAAAAUCUAUUUUUUUAAUAUUUUAGCAAGUCUCGUGGCCGGCGGCGGGUUGCCUGUCUAUGGAAAA